GGCUUGCGGGAGGGGAAGCGAGCGGGAAAGGGGAUACUCAGACCCAGGAGAUGGGGUGGCAAGAGGAAUGAAGUGCGAAGAGCAGUGCAGAACUUUCCGUAUCCUUAAACCAAUCUGGACCUUCAUUUAUCUCGGUUGGCAUACGGAGAGGCCAAUAUUAUUCCUCACCACAUACCCUUGUGAACACCUGGAAGAAUUACCGAUGGUAACAAUGUGAGUUCAUGCUAUUGUCCAGUGAAGAUUUGGUGCCCUGAAAACCCUGUGCAAGAGUGUGCUGGGGACCACCUCCUACAGAAGGGAAGGGAAGAGAGCAAAGUUGAAAGGAAGGAGAGGUCCAGCUGUGGUGCGGGUCCAAUAACAGAGUCUUGGCCAAUGCCCUUCAGAAUCGCCCUGAAUCGGGCAAGAUGGACAGGCUUCUAUAACCCCACAUGGAUUGUCACCAAGGUGUGAGUAGGAUCGUGGCUGAGGCAGCUGUUUGCAUUCAGAAAAUUCCUGAAAGGGUUGGGAGAGCUGAGAGACAGCUGAAGAAGACUCUCAACCAAUAGCACUCCCAGGUAGGAGGGCGACAUGUCCUUCAUUGAAGGAGAUACGUCCUGCAUCUGGGUAGUGCAUCACAAUACCCACUGGAUGCCCCUUUCUGGGAGAAAGUCUGAUAAGAAAGCAAGAAUCAGUCCUCAGCAAAACCAUAAAGAAGACAGCUUGGUUUGAGUGUCCCUCUUAAGAUUCCCCUUCUUGUGAAGACUGACUCCUUUCCUUUUCCCUAGAAAGCCAGUGCUUUCAUGCUGCCCUGUGCUGGAUCCCGCCAUUUUCUCACCACCUCUAAGAACUUCUGCAGACAUUGUCCUGUUUCUCAGGGAUUAAAUACACUAGGACUUUGCUUCUGUCUCUCAAAUUACAGGUUUCUUGUGCAUUUUAACAGAGAUCACCUAUAUCUUCACACAAAUUAGUGAUUCAUGUUGAGAAUUUCUGGAAUUAUAGUCAGGAAAGCUGUUUUUCCACCCACCUCUGAUCCUUCUGAGAUAACUUUCCUUCUUCAUCAAAUACAUCUUCUAGUUCUGUGUGUGUGUGUGUGUGUGUGUGUGUGUGCUUUUUAAUUUUUUGUAGCAGAUGAAAAUCCAGGAUACCAGGACAGAACCAGAUUCCAUGAGAUUCUGGAAUGUAGCUGAAAACAUUGUGACAUGGUUUCCCACCCUACGGUCUAGUAGAGGGGCAAAGAAGAGUCCCAGGAAUUAGUACUAAAAAGAGAGAAAAGCCCUGGGGCCCCUGGAAAAGAAAGGAGAGGGAUCUUAGGACGCUGGUUGUGGCCUGAAAAAGGACUCCAAGGUGGAAGAGAGGGACCCAUGUUCCUAGAAGACAAAGCACUCCACAAAAAACAACUCCAACAGCUACCAAGUGAUGGCAUCUCUAACUCAGGCUCCCAUCCCUCAUCUGUGUUCAGCAUUUUCAUUGCCUGGGGCUAUGAAAGCCCCUUUUUCAUCGGGGUUUCACAUAUUUGUGCAGUAAGUGGCUAGUGUUGGGCUUUGAAGUCCAAUAUGACCUGACAGAAUUUGAAAAGAUCUGCGUGGACUCAAAACGAUGCACACCUUUCAAUCCAUGGUCUAACAUGCCUUCCAAACUGUUAUUUCAUUCUCUAGAAAGAUGAACCUUUAUUUAACUUUCUUUCACAGUUAAUACAAAAAUAGUAUACUUAUUUAUUAUAAAUUUUGCAGAUAAUUUC